UACGUAGGGUGCGAGCGUUAAUCGGAAUUACUGGGCGUAAAGCGUGCGUAGGUGGUUCGUUGUGUCUGUGGUGAAAGCCCCGGGCUUAACCUGGGAAUGGCCAUGGAAACUGGCGAGCUGGAGUCUGGCAGAGGGGGGUGGAAUUCCGCGUGUAGCAGUGAAAUGCGUAGAGAUGCGGAGGAACACCGAUGGCGAAGGCAGCCCCCUGGGCUAACACUGACGCUCAGGCACGAAAGCGUGGGGAGCAAACAGG
rnacentral:rRNA from 1 species